AUUGAACGCUGGCGGCAGGCCUAACACAUGCAAGUCGAGCGAGCGGCGGACGGGUGAGUAAUGCCUGGGAAUUGCCCAGUCGAGGGGGAUAACAGUUGGAAACGACUGCUAAUACCGCAUACGAUUGGAUUGCCCAGGUUGGAUUAGCUAGUUGGUGAGGUAAUGGCUCACCAAGGCGACGAUCCCUAGCUGGUCUGAGAGGAUGUUAAGCCACACUGGAACUGAGAAACGGUCCAGACUACUACGGGAGGAAGCAGUGGGGAAUAUUGCACAAAGGGGGAAACACUGAUGCAGCCAGGACGCGUGUGUGAAGAAGGCCUUCGGGUUGUAAAGCACUUUCAGCGAGGAGGCGUUACUCGCAGAAGAAGCACAGGCGAACACCGUGCCAGCCGCCGCGGUAAUUC
rnacentral:rRNA from 1 species